rnacentral:rRNA from 1 species
UACGUAGGGUGCAAGCGUUGUCCGGAAUUAUUGGGCGUAAAGAGCUCGUAGGCGGUUGUCGCGUCUGCUGUGAAAACCCGAGGCUCAACCUCGGGCCUGCAGUGGGUACGGGCAGACUAGAGUGCGGUAGGGGAGAUUGGAAUUCCUGGUGUAGCGGUGGAAUGCGCAAAUAUCAGGAGGAACACCAAUGGCGAAGGCAGAUCUCUGGCCGUAACUGACGCUGAGGAGCGAAAGCGUGGGAGCGAACAGG